AAAGAGCCCCCUGGUGCCCAAGUCUAAAAAUUAGUAGGGAUACACCGAAAUGAAAAUUCUGGACUGAAACUGAAAAUUCAGCAUUCACUUGGCCAAAACCGAAAAAACCCCCAAAAAACAACAACUUUAAAAUACUUUAUUAAAAGUAACACCAAAAUUAGACAAAAAAA